rnacentral:rRNA from 1 species
UUACCCGAAUAAAAGACAGAGAGGUGGUGCAUGCCCGCCGUCAGUUCGUACCGUAAGGCGUUNUGUUAAGUCAGAUAACGAGCGAGACCCUUGCUCUUAGUUGCUAUCUNGGAGUCCGCUCCGGGAGCACACUAACAGGACCGUUGGUGAUAAACCAGAGGAAGGAGGGGGCAACGGUAGGUCAGUAUGCCNUGAAUCCCCCGGGNUACACGCGCGCUACAAAGGCCGAGACAAUGGGUUGCGACCCCGAAAGGGGAAGCUAAUCUCAAAACUCGGUCCUAGUUCGGAUUGAGGGCUGUAACUUGCCCUCAUGAAGCUGGAUUCCAUAGUAAUCGCGGAUCAACAUUCCACGGUGAAUAUGCCCCUGCUCCUUGCACACACCGCCCGU